rnacentral:rRNA from 1 species
AUGUUGUACAAAAAAUAUCCAGGAAACCUCAGAGAGAAAAUUCGAGGAAAGAAAAAUUUGAGAGAACAUUGGGUGUCAGAGUUGACGAUGAAAAAAUUUCCAAGAAACCUCAGAGAGAUUUCGAGGAAAGAAAAAUUUGCGAGAAAAAACGAGAAACAAAUACGAUCUGAACACCAUUGGGUGUCAGAGUUGAUCGGGAAAAAAGAUCCAGGAAAACUUAGAGAGAAAAUUCGAGGGACGAAAAUUUACAGAGAGAAUAUCGAGGAAAGAAAAGACGGUCUCGACACUGAGGAUCCUUGCCUAGUCGACGGCCUUCAUCCCCAAAGUCUCAGCCGUGCUGGAUCUGCAGUCACCGGUUCGUGCUUCCACCGUUCCCGGAUCCAACGCUGGCCGUGUGUGGGGUGGGGUUGGAGGUUGAAUCCAUUGGCGGCUGUAGGCGAUGUGCCAGUGGAGCUUCGUCCCGAGCGCCGGCGACGCGUGGGUGGCGUUGGAGGCGGGGCACAACAAGCGUGGAGGAGAAGCACGACGGUGGCUCACGGGGCAGAGGAAGAGAGAUGGAUGGAUAGGGACGAGGGUUCGGCCGUUCAGGGGAGGAGUGAAGGAGAGAAACAGUAG